UCUGUGACCCAGUCCAUGGAAUGGUGCCACACAUGAUCAGCCCUUUUCUUGGGAGAACAGUUGACAUCACCGCUCCCUCCAGGCCUUAUCUCUGGCUUCAUCAGAUGGUGUGAAUCUCUGCGGUCAGCCCUCCUGUGUCCUGGGUGUUCAAUAAUCCUUCACAUACGGCACUUCAGGAGAGUGAGCGCCCCAGCCCUCCACAGCCAUGGGUGGAACAUGAGCUGCCUUCAGGAAUCUGCCCUCUGGAAAGCAAAUACUGACGGGGCUUCCUGCCUCAGACUGGCAGAUCUCAGAGGCCUCAGCUCUGUCUGAUUUUCUGUUUCGGUUUGGUGUUUGUCUUUCCAUCUGUCCCCUCCUUAGGUCUUCGGUUUUUCUAAGACUGGUUUUCUCUGUUGUAGCCCUGGCUGUCUGGAACUUACUCUGUAGACCAGGCUGGCCCCAGAUCUACCUGCCUCUGCCUCCUGAGAGCUGGGAUGAAAGCUAUGUGCCACCAAACCCAGCUUUUUUAUUUUUUUAUUUUUGUUGAGAAAAGUUCUCUGUAGCCCUGGUUAUUCUGGAUCUUGGGACCAAGCUGACUCACAGAGAUCCACCUGCCUCUGCCUCCUCAGUGCUGGAAUCCAAGGUGUGUGUCACAGCACCCUGCAGUUUAAAAUUUAAAAUUAUGAGUUUUUUAAAUUACGAGUUUGUUUGUUGUAUGGACAACUUGCAAGAGUCAUUUCCAUAUUCCUACCGUGUGGAUCCCAGCGAUCAAACUCUAGUCUUCAGGUGUGGUAGUCCUCUACCUGCCAAGCCAUUUCUCCAGCCCCAUGACCCCAUUUCUUUAGCCAUAGGGUGGAUGCAGAAAAAGUCAGUAGUAUAUUCAAAACUGUCAAUAUUUGAUUGAUUAGCAGGCUGGCAAGUUAGCUCGGUAGACAAAACCUUCGCUGUACAAGGCAAGUGCCUCCACCUGCUGAGCCAUCUUGCUAGCUGCUCUGCCCUAUAUUUUAAGAUAGUUUUUUACCAAACCUAGAACUCAUGAUUCAGAUACAUUAGCCAGCGAAUUUUGGGGAUCUGGUUCCCCUCCCCCCCCCCCAAAAAAAAAAAAAAACCAACACUGGAGUUACAGACACACAUCACCUACCAGUUUUUACCUGGGUGCUGAGACUCCAAACUUGGGUCCUCAUGCUUGUGCUUCAUGGACUUCACUCACUGGGCCACAUCCCUAGCCCACUUGAUUUUAAACAAAUUUCUAAUUAACAGCCACAAAGUGGUGUUUGUAGUAUUCAUAUAUUUUAGUUUGCUGCGUGUUCCUCCAUGCAAGCCGAUGUUAACAAUUUCUGUCUUCUGAAACAUUAAUGUCAAUUUAAUGCUAACAUACCAUUUAUUUUUUAAAGAUUUGUUUUAUUAUUUUGAAAGAGAGAGAGAGAGAGAGAGAGAGAGAGAGAGAGAGAGAGAGAGAGCGCGCGCACGGACAGGCAAAUGCAGCUUAGCAGAGGAGUUUCUGUAACUGGGCUCAUAAAUGACAAGCUUAUUUCCAGGGAGUGAGACUUUUCUCCUAAGAAUUUCUCCAUGUGUGUCUCUCUGCGUGUCUGUGUGUCUCUCUGUGUGUGGUCUCUCUGUGUGUGUGUCUCGUGUGUCUUUGUGUCAGUUGUGAGCUGCCCAGCGUGGAUGUUGGAAACCAAAUUUGGGUCCUCUGAAAGAACAGCAAGUGCUCUUAACCACUGAGCCAUCUCUCCAGCCCUGCAGGAUGUUAAUUAAAGUCUACUGAUUUCAUUCCAAGAUUUGCUCAGCUUUACCUAGAUUUAAUUGGGAGUGGGGGUGGGGCAGGAUGACAUUGUGUACAGCUUUAUUGCCAGCAUGUGGCAUUGAUUUUGUUUUGUUUGGUUUGGUCUUAGGGAUUAAAUUCAGAGCCUGUGUAUUCUGAGCACAUGGUCUACCACUGAGUCAUGCCUUUAACUUAGUGUGAAGACUUUCAAAUUAAAGCCUUAUUAAAUACGUUCCCUUUUCUUUUAUGGUAACAUCUAUGUCCUAUUCCAGAAGCCUUAUCCACAAAUAGAAUUUUACAAUAAAAUAUAUCAAAUCUA